AUGGCUCCUACCGAGGCUGAGGCUGAUGUAGAGGAGGGAGAAGAGAAGAAGAACAAGAAGAAGAAGGAAAGGAAAGUAGCCGGAGUUGCUUUCACGUGGAUUCAAACUCACUUUGCGAUGUGCCCUCCGGAUGCCACUUAUGAUGUGAUCCAGACACAUGCUCGUGUCUACAUGUGGUAUGUUGUGUCGAGGACUUUGUUUCCUGACUCCACUGGCAAGAACGCUCCAUGGAUGUGGCUGAAGGCGUUGACCGUCUUCGGUAGCAAAUGA
rnacentral:rRNA from 1 species